UACGAAGGGGGCUAGCGUUGUUCGGAAUUACUGGGCGUAAAGCUCACGUAGGCGGAUCUUUAAGUCAGGGGUGAAAUCCCGAGGCUCAACCUCGGAACUGCCUUUGAUACUGGGGAUAUCGAGUCCGGGAGAGGUGAGUGGAACUGCGAGUGUAGAGGUGAAAUUCGUAGAUAUUCGCAAGAACACCAGUGGCGAAGGCGGCUCACUGGCCCGGUACUGACGCUGAGGUGCGAAAGCGUGGGGAGCGAACAGG
rnacentral:rRNA from 1 species